rnacentral:rRNA from 1 species
GAUGAACGCUGGCUACAGGCUUAACACAUGCAAGUCGAGGGGAAACGGCAUUGAGUGCUUGCACUGAAUGGACGUCGACCGGCGCACGGGUGAGUAACGCGUAUCCAACCUUCCCGUUACUGCGGGAUAACCUGCCGAAAGGCAGACUAAUACCGCAUGUUCUUCGAUGACGGCAUCAGAUUCGAAGCAAAGAUCCGUCGGUAACGGAGGGGGAUGCGUCUGAUUAGCUAGUUGGCGGGGCGACGGCCCACCAAGGCGACGAUCAGUAGGGGUUCUGAGAGGAAGGUCCCCCACAUUGGAACUGAGACACGGUCCAAACUCCUACGGGAGGCAGCAGUGAGGAAUAUUGAUCAAUGGGCGGAAGCCUGAACCAGCCAAGUAGCGUGCAGGAUGACGGCCCUACGGGUUGUAAACUGCUUUUAUGCGGGGAUAAAGUGAGGGACGCGUCCCUUUUUGCAGGUACCGCAUGAAUAAGGACCGGCUAAUUCCGUG